rnacentral:rRNA from 1 species
CCUACGGGUGGCAGCAGUGGGGAAUAUUGGACAAUGGGGGGAACCCUGAUCCAGCCAUGCCGCGUGUGUGAAGAAGGCCCUCGGGUUGUAAAGCACUUUCAGUGAGGAAGAACGCCUGGUGGUUAAUACCCAUCAGGAAAGACAUCACUCACAGAAGAAGCACCGGCUAACUCCGUGCCAGCAGCCGCGGUAAUACGGAGGGUGCGAGCGUUAAUCGGAAUUACUGGGCGUAAAGCGCGCGUAGGUGGCUUGAUAAGCCGGUUGUGAAAGCCCCGGGCUCAACCUGGGAACGGCAUCCGGUACUGUCAAGCUAGAGUGCAGGAGAGGAAGGUAGAAUUCCCGGUGUAGCGGUGAAAUGCGUAGAGAUCGGGAGGAAUACCAGUGGCGAAGGCGGCCUUCUGGACUGACACUGACACUGAGGUGCGAAAGCGUGGGUAGCAAACAGGAUUAGAUACCCUAGUAGUC